AAUUCCACUCCCCUUAUCCCUUCCAGGAUUUAAUUCAAUUAUUAUAAGUAUACAAAACCAAUGCUUGUAAUUAUUUCUUUUCAUGUCACUUUUGUUCACUGUUCAACACUGGUUGAGAAUACUUUUCUAAAAUUGCACAAUUUGCUUUUUUCCUUUUUUCUUCUUUUGACCGUCUAUCAUGUGAUCAGGAAGCACGCCUUCAAGGUUUCGAGCCGUAGAAACAACCUUUUACAGAAAUGCAAGACAAAAUUACGUACCAUAGAUCCUUAUGAUCCGAUCUUUUCUCGGACCCCUUACAUAACAGCAGCUUAGUACACCGAGUUAUUUGUUUGACUGCCUGUAUUUUCUUUCUUUAGUUUCUAGCCCUUUUAAUCCAUAUUGUUUAAUACAUGAAUAAAUUGCGUCCAAU
rnacentral:lncRNA from 1 species